rnacentral:rRNA from 1 species
AGCUCCAAUAGCGUAUAUUAAAGUUGCUGCGUUUAAAAAGCUCGUAGUUGGAUCUCUGUCUCGAUCGAGCGGUCCGUCUUCGGAUGGCAAUGCGCGAAUCGGACAUUCCGCCGCAUUUCUCCUCAUUCUCUUGACAGAGUGUGGGGGGAGAGUGGCACGUUUACUUUGAAAAAAUUAGAGUGCUCAAAGCAGGCAGUCGCCUGAAUAGUCGUGCAUGGAAUGAUGGAAUAGGACCUUGGUUCUAUUUUGUUGGUUUCCGGAACCCGAGGUAAUGAUUAAUAGGGACGGACGGGGGCUUUUGUAUUGCGACGGGAGAGGUGAAAUUCUUAGAUCGUCGCAAGACAAACUACCGCGAAAGCAUUUGCCAAGAAUGUUUUCA